UUGUAGGGUUUUAUUUUAAAUAACCUACACUCAAGUUAAUGGCAAUUCAUGAUAAAAAUAGAAGAUAGGAGGGGAAAUGUCCAAAAAGAAAAGACUCUUCUGAACACUUGCUUUUAUAUUUAAAAAAAUAAAAAGCGUUCUAGGCAAAACAAAAUAUAAAAAAAAAGUCACAGAAAUUUGUUUACAGGGCAUUAUUUUUCAAGCAAUCUGCACAAAAACUCACCAAUCUUUUGCAACUGAUGUUACAAACAUGAAGUCCAUAGUGUAAUUGCAUUCAAGUAAUUUCUUUUAAAAACAAUUCUUUUCAGGCAACCGAUCUUAAAUAUGAUCUCAAGCCUUGCCGUUAACCCCUCGAUCAGGCUCCUGAAUGACAUUCAUAGAGGUAACACAAAAACACCCCAUAGAACAAACAGGGACUGCCACUUAAACUGCGGCCUGGCCGGUAUGUAUGUAUUGUGUUAUAAGUUUGGUCUUCAUUGCACUUCUAGAAAGUUACUCUUCACAUCAAAUAAUCUCUGGUAAAAUCUGCCGAAAUGAAAAGAAUUCAAAUGUCCCUACAAAUUGUACAACAGUUAAUUUUUUUCUGAUUGGAUAAAAAGGAUUAAAUACUUGAAAUAAUGGUACAAUAGAUAAGACUGGGCAAAGAAAAAAUAAAAUAAAAUUCACAUUUGUAAAAAA